AAUGAAGUGAUGAAGAGAAGAGUAGGCCAAUCAUUAUGGUGCAGAGAGCGCGAGCUACGGUGAAAUCGCGACGUUAAGGGUUGGUUGAAGAUGAUCUUGGAGCUUUUAACCGGUGCAAGCUAGUUAAGCGGUAGAAACCCGUUAUUGUUUUGGACUUUCCAGUUGGAGAGUUUCUGAGGUGGUCAGCGUGAGUUGGCUGCAAAUUCGGGUGGUACCACGUGUCAACGUCCUGUUA
rnacentral:ncRNA from 1 species